rnacentral:rRNA from 1 species
UACGGAGGGAGCUAGCGUUGUUCGGAUAUACUGGGCGUAAAGCGCACGUAGGCGGCGUCGUAAGUCAGGGGUGAAAUCCCGGAGCUCAACUCCGGAACUGCCCUUGAAACUGCAAUGCUAGAAUCUUGGAGAGGCGAGUGGAAUUCCGAGUGUAGAGGUGAAAUUCGUAGAUAUUCGCAAGAACACCAGUGGCGAAGGCGGCUCACUGGCCCGUUACUGACGCUGAGGCACGAAAGCGUGGGGAGCAAACAGG